UUUCCGUAGGUGAACCUGCGGAAGGAUCAUUACUGAGUGAGGGCCCUCUGGGUCCAACCUCCCACCCGUGUUUAUUGUACCUUGUUGCUUCGGUGCGCCCGCCUCACGGCCGCCGGGGGGCUUCUGCCCCCGGGUCCGCGCGCACCGGAGACACUAUUGAACUCUGUCUGAAGAUUGCAGUCUGAGCAUAAACUAAAUAAGUUAAAACUUUCAACAACGGAUCUCUUGGUUCCGGCAUCGAUGAAGAACGCAGC
rnacentral:misc_RNA from 1 species